GACGAACGCUGGCGGCGCGCCUAACACAUGCAAGUCGAACGGAGCUGAGAGAAUCUUGCUUUUCUUAGCUUAGUGGCGCACGGGUGAGUAACGCGUGAGUAACCUGCCCUGGAGUGGGGGACAACAUUUGGAAACGACUGCUAAUCCCGCAUAAGCCCACGAUCCGGCUUCGGUUUGAGGGAAAAGGAUUUUUUCGCUUCAGUAUGGACUCGCGUCCAAUUAGCUAGUUGGUGAGGUAACGGCCCACCAAGGCGACGAUUGGUAGACGGAAUGAGAGGUGGAAAGGCCACAUUGGGACUGAGACACGGCCCAGACUCCUACGGGAGGAAGCAGUGGGGGAUAUUGCAAAAUGGGGGAAAACCUGAUGCAGCGACGACGCGUGGAGGAAGAAGGUUUUCGGAUUGUAAACUCCUGUCGUUAGGGACGAUAAUGACGGUACCUAACAAGAAAGCACCGGCUAACUACGUG
rnacentral:rRNA from 1 species